rnacentral:tRNA from 1 species
GGGGAUGUAGCUCAGUGUAGAGUACUUGUUUGGGAUGCAUGAGGCCCCAGGUUCCAUCCCCA